UUUUGGACAAUGGGCGCAAGCCUGAUCCAGCAAUGCCGCGUGAGUGAAGAAGGCCUUCGGGUUGUAAAGCUCUUUUGUCAGGGAAGAAACGGUGAGCUCCAAUACAGUUUGCUAAUGACGGUACCUGAAGAAUAAGCACCGGCUAACUACGUGCCAGCAGCCGCGGUAAUACGUAGGGUGCAAGCGUUAAUCGGAAUUACUGGGCGUAAAGCGUGCGCAGGCGGUUAUGUAAGUCAGAUGUGAAAUCCCCGGGCUCAACCUGGGAAUGGCAUCUGAGACUGCAUGGCUAGAGUGUGUCAGAGGGGGGUAGAAUUCCACGUGUAGCAGUGAAAUGCGUAGAGAUGUGGAGGAAUACCGAUGGCGAAGGCAGCCCCCUGGGGUAACACUGACGCUCAUGCACGAA
rnacentral:rRNA from 1 species